rnacentral:miRNA from 1 species
ACUGGCCUUGGAGUCAGAAGGU